AAAACCACCUACAGUGGAGAAAAGAGCAGAGAAGCAAAAACUUCAUGUUAAUUUCAAAGGGAUUGGCUGAAGCUAAAGCUCCAUUUAAAUUUCUCUGCUCCUUCAGCUGUAAGUGGAAUUUUCAUUGUAAAAGGGACACACGUGGGCACUUUUAAAACUAUCAAAACAUCUAAACUUCCAAGGUGAUCACUUUUUAAACAAAGAACCAACCGCUCAUUCAUAUUUUCAGUAAAGCAGAGAAAUGUAAAAUAUGCAGCAACGGGGCAAGUUUACAAUGUGGUUAGUAACUCCCAACAAAUGACAAAAAAUGAAAAAAUGACUUCAUAUAAAUCAUCUGAAAUGACGGCCAUCAUGUUGGAAAAGAGCAUAGCUCCCUCUGUUUAAUGAGCUGGGGAGGAAUAAGUUAUUGGGCAAGUAAAUUUUCAAUAAAUAAAUACUUUCAGAACAAAUUGUAGUUUAAAAUUUAAAGUCUCAGAAAUUCAUGGAUUAAAAAAACCAAACAAACAAAAACUUUAUUAUUAGCAGUUGCCAAUCAAGAACACUCCAAAAAAGGCAGGGAACUUUUAAUGAAUAUUGUAUUACCCAAAAAUGGGCUCUCAUCAGCCAUGCUUUUUCUGCUCCGUGAUGGCUCCCUUUCAUCCAUAGGCCAGCAAAACAAGUCAAUGAUUUAUCAACACUUCUCAAUUUGAAGGCACCCCCAACCCUGCUGUUUAUCUCUCAGUGCUAAUUCAAGGGAUGCUAAUGUCAGACUCACUGCUACUGUCAAUAAAGGCUACAUACUUUAUUAAAGUAUCACCACCACCAAAUGAAAGCAAGAGCUACAGCAGGAAGAGAAAUGUUUAUGAAAAGAUUUAAGCUCAUUCCUAAGCACAAAUGCUUGGUUUAAGAACAACUGCUGUAGUUAAUUCCAAGGAAAGCAGCUUGUUAUACACUUCACCCCCUUAUCAUGCUGUUCUAUAGUUACUCUCCCUGCUAUGAGAAACAUACAUUGCGUUAAGCCCCAUUCUUACCACGUCAUCUAAAAAAACCCCACCCUCCCCCAAGAAUAGAGUCUGAAAGAGAGCAGAGUGUAUAAAGGCAUCUUCAAGACAUCACAAAACAGAACAAACCUACUGAAAAGGAACCGGUGACCUCUGAAUGAGGAAGUGCAACCAACAACACUGCUUAUUUUGUGAGGGUGAUACCUUAAUAAAAAGCACUUUAUUCCUUCGUCUGAGAGUCCAAAGCACAAUAGCUUUAUACACAAGCCUGGAAAUAUCCUGGCAACAGUACAGAGCAUGUCCUCUGCUCUAUGCUCUCAGAGGGCGCAUGCAGUCCUCACAUUAUAGAUGUCGCCUUACUUGGGCACCAACUCGUAUCAAAAAAUGAAUACUGGCCUAUGGCUGAAAUGUGUCACUUUUCACAGCAGCACUCAACAAGAACUGGGACCAUUAAAUAGCAAGUUUUCAUGGGGACCUUGUUGCUGCUUUAGAUUCUUAUAAUUGUAAGGGGAAAAGGAGAACCCUUUUUUUAAUUAGAGACUGACUACUGAAAUAACUGUAAAAAUGCUACAUGGAAAAUCAAGGGUGGGCAGACAAUCUUACAGAGUGAAGAAGGCCACAAGAACAAGUGCAAUUUAUUCUUUUUGGGGGGUUGUGGGGGGGCAUUGUAAAAACAUCUUUGGAACACUGAAGAACUUAAGCAUAACGUUAUGAUUGUCCUUUCUCUGGGCAAUACAAACUUAACUAUGUAUUCCCCCAAUUACAAAACAAAAGUCUUUGCACGGAAAUUUCCCUUGUUUAACACAGGUUUCACAAAAUAUAACUGAAUACAAAGAGACCAACUAGUGUUAAUAAUUCCCUUUGUUUUCUUUUUCAGCAUUUUGCAUACAAAUGAAGAGGCUUCUUGGAAAACGAAGAUGGUCUACAUUACUGAGCCUUAUGAUAUGCUAAUUUCCUUGGUUUUAAAGAUGCUAAGGGAAUCCUUUCAAGAGAGAAGAAACGGAGAGGACUCCAAAUAAGUUCAAUGAUCCAAUAAAUUCAUGUAAAAGCUUACAGUAAUUUUCUCAUUAACCCUUUCCAGAUGAGUCAGUCAAUGAAUUUUGAGGACAUUGAACCCCAUAAGCAAAACAUUUCAACAUUUUGUAAUGCUUUAAACAGGAGUUUUAAUAUAACAUAUUAGAUUUUAUUAUCAUUCUGAUGUUUAUUAAUUUAGCAUGAGCAAUAUGUUCUAGAAGUAGUCAAUACUAUGUUACACUGAACCAGACUGGAUUUGGAAAGUUAAUUUACAUUCUUGUGAAGAUAGUGGGGAUAAUCUAUCUUGUUCAGUGUCCUAAAGUAAUUCGACAGGCCAACUACAACUGCAAAGAUUUGAGACAGUAAAUGCUGCUGUGCAUAACCAGAAGUUCUUUAAAAAAUGGUACAGCACAGGUUUGACAAACCUCCAUUUGUAUCUGUCCAACCCAGGCACUGAUAACUCAAUCAAGUUCUAUAUCCAUUUAGACUUUCUGCAUUUAUUCAUAUUGUACUGAAGUGGCAAAUCUGGAAAGAUUAAUAUCUGCCUAAUCUCAGAAUUAUUAUAGCGUUCUUGUGGCCUCACAAACUUCUGCAUACUUAAAUCCUUUUUUUUUAAAUGGUUCCUAUUUAAAUUCUAUUAUUUAACCUACAUAUCCAUUUAGAAAUCACAAAGCAGCAACAGCAGGUAGUCCAGAGCACCAGAUGAUCAGAGUGAAACUUCCCAACAUGCAACAGCUUACAAAGGCAAAGAGACAUAUUUACCUUACAGCCAGAAAAGCAUUAUUUCAGUAUUUUGCAUCACAAUAAGACAUUAAAACAGAAAAACUCUUUAUGCGAAAAAUGGGGGCAGCAGAUUUCACAAGACUUUGAAGUCAGCGAUAUGCCACACGUAAAUAUCUAAGCGAUUACAAUUUAGGCUCCAACACAGAUGUCAUGAGAAGAUGGAGGGGAAGGAAAAAACAAACCAAGAGAAAAAAGGAUUGUAGGUAAAACUCCCAGCCCCGCUGAAGUCAAUGAGAGUUUUACCACUUACUUCAGUGGGGCCAGGACUUCACCCCAUAUUCUUAUAUAUAACCUAUCCACCAAUGAGAGAUACCGAUAGUCAAGUAUCAGCCAUCUUAGACCAUCUCAGGGUCAUAUUCAAUACCCACUUCUUAAUGUUUCAUAUAAAGUUGAAGGGUACAAAAGGGAUUGUU